UGAAACAAUGACUCUCAGUUUAAACCGGUUCUUUGCUAAGUUGUCUGUUAUGUGUCAAAACAACUCUGGUUCAUCCCACGAAUUAGGAGCC